UACAGAGGGGGCGAGCGUUAUUCGGAAUUAUUGGGCGUAAAGGGCGCGUAGGCGGCUUGCUAAGUCGAACGUGAAAUCCCCGGGCUCAACCCGGGAACUGCGUCCGAGACUGGCAGGCUUGAAUCCGGGAGAGGGAUGUGGAAUUCCAGGUGUAGCGGUGAAAUGCGUAGAUAUCUGGAGGAACAUCGGUGGCGAAGGCGGCAUCCUGGACCGGUAUUGACGCUGAGGCGCGAAAGCCAGGGGAGCAAACGGG
rnacentral:rRNA from 1 species